GGGCUUGUGGUUUAGUGGUAUAAUUUUCCCUUAGCAUAUGACAUCCAUCGUCGGGCGUGGGAAAGGUCCUGGGUUCGAUUCCCAGCAAGUCCA